GAUGAACGCUGGCGGCGUGCCUAAUACAUGCAAGUCGAGCGAACAGAUGAGGAGCUUGCUCCUCUGACGUUAGCGGCGGACGGGUGAGUAACACGUGGAUAACCUACUUAUAAGACUGGGAUAACUUCGGGAAACCGGAGCUAAUACCGGAUAAUAUAUUGAACCGCAUGGUUCAAUAGUGAAAGACGGUUUUGCUGUCACUUAUAGAUGGAUCUGCGCCGCAUUAGCUAGUUGGUAAGGUAACGGCUUACCAAGGCAACGAUGCGUAGCCGACCUGAGAGGGUGAUCAGCCACCCUGGAACUGAGACACGGUCCAGACUCCUACGGGAGGCAGCAGUAGGGAAUCUUCCGCAAAGGGCGAAAGCCUGACGGAGCAACGCCGCAUGAGUGAUGAAGGUCUUCGGAUCGUAAAACUCUGUUAUUAGGGAAGAACAAAUGUGUAAGUAACUAUGCACGUCUGGACGGUACCUAAUCAGAGAGCCACGGGUAACUACGUG
rnacentral:rRNA from 1 species